GGGCAAGUGGAGUUUGGGACCAAGGUCGAGAUAAAGAACAUGAACUCAUUUUCUGCAAUGAGCAGGGCUAUCGAUUAUGAAAUAUCCAGACAGAUUCUUCUACACAAUCAAGGUCAAAGUGAUCAGAUUGUGCAGGAAACUCGACUCUGGGAAGAAGGUGCCCAGAAAACUGUAACUAUGCGAAAAAAGGAAGGGCUUGCUGACUAUAGAUACUUCCCCGAGC
rnacentral:misc_RNA from 1 species